UUAAGUUCAGCGGGUAUCCCUACCUGAUCCGAGGUCAACCUGAAAAAAUUGGGGGUUAUUGGCAAGUAACCACUUGGAUCUCCAAAGCGAGAAGAAUUACUACGCUUGAAGCCAAAUGGCACCGCCACUGAUUUUAAGACCUGCCAGAAACUGGCAAUGUCCAAUACCAAGCGGUUGCUUGAGAUUAUACUGACGCUCAG
rnacentral:misc_RNA from 1 species